rnacentral:misc_RNA from 1 species
AACGCACGAGACCUGCGGACCUGCGGAGGGAUCAUUACCGAGUUUACAACUCCCAAACCCAAUGUGAACGUUACCAAACUGUUGCCUCGGCGGGAUCUCUGCCCCGGGUGCGUCGCAGCCCCGGACCAAGGCGCCCGCCGGAGGACCAACCUAAAACUCUUAUUGUAUACCCCCUCGCGGGUUUUUUUAUAAUCUGAGCCUUCUCGGCGCCUCUCGUAGGCGUUUCGAAAAUGAAUCAAA